UUGACAAAGGCUAUAAACAUUCUGGAACCUGAUUACAUUGCACUGUCAGAGAUCACUGAAUAUUUUUUCAUUCUCAUGAGAUUUGUUUUGCUACAUAUUACUCUAGAAACUCAGAAAAGCUACUAAAAAUAAGCUUGGCCGCUAGUGGUGGUAACAUAAACUGUUUCUCAUGAAACAAGCCAGGUUCACUUAAGCAAUAUACUCCCAAGGGGACAUUCAAAAUUAUAAGCUAUUUAUUCUUCUAUGUUAGUAAUUCAUUUGCUUCCAUAUUUAGGAAAGCAUAUUAGAAUCAUGGGAGUGAAACAUUAAAAGGAAAACCUUGAAUCUAUUUUAUAUAAUAGGGAACAUCAUUUCUAUACAGUAUUGCACACUGAGAGAUUGCCUUAACUACAAAACCAUGGAGAUGCUGAACUGAACUAAAUGAAACAACAGACUUUCUGAAAGCUGUGAGCAUCUUAAAAGAAAGUGCUCUGAACAUAAUUACAAAAGCUUUGAAUCCAGAAUCAAAAACGAGCAGUUUGAUCACAUAAAAGCUAAUUUCUGAAAACUACUACACACAGAGAUUCAAAGUCAAAGGGAGGACAAACUCAGAACUCUUCAGGAGCAACCAGCAGAAAAAUAUUUUCUGAGCAGACCCAUGGAAGAAUUUAUUAUGUACAGUGAUUCAAAAUACUGGCCCCAUCUACCUAUUGUUUUCUAAACUCAUUGAAGUCCUAUGAUCCAGUCUGUUGAGUUUUUUCAUUAGAGAAAGAAGAAACCCUG